AUGGUCCUGGAGAAGGGAUGGCAUGCAGAAGGAAUGAACAUACAGCGGCGUGUUGCGAGGUUCCAGCAGGAGGGGUUCUCCCUACAUCUCAGUAAAGACUUUAGAUGAGAUGGACAGACAAGAGAUUUUCAAGUAUUGACUGAGGGGAAGCAACGUGCUUGAAUCCAGGAAAUCAGAAAGCUAUCUCCAAUACUUAAUAUUAGUUAAUAUUUUGAACUCCUGGUCUUAACCUGGGCUGUGGUGCUUCACUAAGUUGAUGAAGUGUGAUUGUGUUUUUAAUAAGCUUUAUUGCUUUUUUUUUCCACGCAGAACAUGUACAGAUAGUCGAUUAAUUUUUGGUUGAACUAUUACAAAAAUAUUUAGAAAUGUAUAUAAAGAAGAAAAUUUAUAUUGCCCUUAAUCUCACUAUCCACAGGUAAUGAAUGUUAACAUUUUUUUAAAUGUUAACAUUUUGAUGUUUGUCUGUCCAAACUUGGAUCUGUAAAUGUGCAUGUAUACUCGUACAUACCCAUGUAUCCCCCAAUACAUGUUUUUGCAAAAAUGGA